UACGUAGGGUGCAAGCGUUAAUCGGAAUUACUGGGCGUAAAGCGUGCGCAGGCGGUUGUGUAAGACAGAUGUGAAAUCCCCGGGCUCAACCUGGGAACUGCAUUUGUGACUGCAAGGCUAGAGUACGGUAGAGGGGGAUGGAAUUCCGCGUGUAGCAGUGAAAUGCGUAGAUAUUGGGAGGAACACCAGUGGCGAAGGCGGCUCGCUGGACCGGUUCUGACGCUGAGGCGCGAAAGCGUGGGGAGCAAACGGG
rnacentral:rRNA from 1 species